CACGUAGGGUGCAAGCGUUGUCCGGAAUCAUUGGGCGUAAAGAGCUCGUAGGCGGCUUAGUAAGUCGUGUGUGAAAACCCCAGGCUCAACCUGGGGACGCCACCCGAUACUGCUAUAGCUAGAGUCCAGUAGGGGAGUGUGGAAUUCCCAGUGUAGCGGUGAAAUGCGCAGAUAUUGGGAGGAACACCAGCGGCGAAGGCGGCACUCUGGGCUGGUACUGACGCUGAGGAGCGAAAGCGUGGGGAGCGAACAGG
rnacentral:rRNA from 1 species